UACGUAGGCAGCAAGCGUUGUUCGGAGUUACUGGGCGUAAAGGGUGUGUAGGCGGUUCCCUAAGUUUGGUGUGAAAUCUCCCGGCUUAACCGGGAGGGUGCGCCGAAAACUGGGGAGCUAGAGUGUGGGAGAGGAAAGUGGAAUUCCUGGUGUAGCGGUGAAAUGCGUAGAUAUCAGGAGGAACACCUGCGGUGUAGACGGCUUUCUGGACCAUAACUGACGCUGAGACACGAAAGCGUGGGUAG
rnacentral:rRNA from 1 species